GAACUGUGAUGAGCACAUUUAUCCCGAAUCUGACUUGAUGAGACAAACUCACGGAUCUGACUGCUGAGUU